CCUGGCUCAGAGUGAACGCUGGCGGCAGGCCUAACACAUGCAAGUCGAGCGGCAGCGCAGCAGUAGCAAUACUGUGGGCGGCGAGCGGCGGACGGGUGAGGAACACAUCGGAAUCUACCCUGUCGUGGGGGACAACGUAGGGAAACUUACGCUAAUACCGCAUACGACCUUCGGGUGAAAGCGGGGGACUCGCAAGAGCCUCGCGCGAUUGGAUGAGCCGAUGUCCGAUUAGCUAGUUGGCGGGGUAAAGGCCCACCAAGGCGACGAUCGGUAGCUGGUCUGAGAGGACGACCGGCCACACUGGAACUGAGACACGGUCCAGACUCCUACGGGAGGCAGCAGUGGGGAAUAUUGGACAAUGGGGGCAACCCUGAUCCAGCCAUGCCGCGUGGGUGAAGAAGGCCUUCGGGUUGUAAAGCCCUUUUGUACGGGAAGAAAAGCUUCUGGUGAAUAUCCGGGAGUCAUGACGGUACCGUAAGAAUAAGCACCGGCUAACUUCGUGCCAGCAGCCGCGGUAAUACGAAGGGUGCAAGCGUUACUCGGAAUUACUGGGCGUAAAGCGUGCGUAGGCGGUUUGUUAAGUCUGAUGUGAAAUCCCCGGGCUCAACCUGGGAAUGGCAUUGGAUACUGGCAGGCUAGAGUACGGUAGAGGGUGGUGGAGUUCCCGGUGUGGCAGUGAAGUGCGUAGAGAUCGGGAGGAACAUCUGUGGCGAAGGCGGCCACCUGGACCAGUACUGACGCUGAGGCACGAAAGCGUGGGGAGCAAACAGGAUUAGAUACCCUGGUAGUCCACGCCCUAAACGAUGCGAACUGGAUGUUGGGUGCAACUUGGCACUCAGUAUCGAAGCUAACGCGUUAAGU
rnacentral:rRNA from 1 species